AACGAACGCUGGCGGCAUGCCUAACACAUGCAAGUCGAACGAGACCUUCGGGUCUAGUGGCGCACGGUUGCGUAACGCGUGGGAACCUGCCCUUAGGUUCGGAAUAACUCUCCGAAUGGGGUGCUAAUACCGGAUAAUAUCUUCUGACCAAAGAUUUAUUGCCUUUGGCUGUGCCCGCGUUGGAUUAGCUAGUUGUUAGGGUAAUAGCCUACCAAGGCGACGAUGCAUAGCUUGUUUGAGAGGAUGAUCAGCCACACUGGGACGGAGACGCGGCCCAGAAUCCUACGGGAGGCAGCAGUGGGGAAUAUUGCACAAUGGGCGAAAGCCUGAUCCAGCAAUGACGCGUGAGUGAUGAAGGCCUUAGGGUUGUAAAGCUCUUUUACCCGGGAUGAUAAUGACAGUACCGGGAGAAUAAGCUCCGGCUAACUACGUG
rnacentral:rRNA from 1 species